rnacentral:lncRNA from 1 species
UUGACAGCUGUUAGCAUGCCAAUUUGUGAACCACAAGCGUACGUAUUAGUUGUAGCUCUUCCCUUAGAGUAUUUUCCCUAGAUUAUCAAUCCAUAGAACUUAUAGCACAAGAUCUAUUUCAACUAGCAUUGUUGGUAUGAACUUGGUGUUUAUGAGAGAUUUAGAUCCAAUCUAUAAGCAUGUACAGACAGAUAAUAGAUAGAGUAAAGGUAACCAAUCUAGAGCAACCUAGACUAUGCAUAUGUUGUAAUUCUGAGCAUGGAUAGCAAAAUAACACAUAUAUGAUCUUAGUAAAAAGCAUCUUUAAAUUUACACCUAUGGUUCGGAUCCCGAAACCCCCAC